GAAGGUAUAGCUCAAGUGGUAGAGUGCAUGCUUAGCGUGCACAAGGACCUGGGUUCAAUCCCCAGGGCCUCCC
rnacentral:tRNA from 1 species